AUUGAACGCUGGCGGCAGGCCUAACACAUGCAAGUCGAGCGGAGCGGCGGACGGGUGAGUAAUGCCUAGGAAUCUGCCUGGUAGUGGGGGAUAACGUCCGGAAACGGGCGCUAAUACCGCAUACUAUCAGAUGAGCCUAGGUCGGAUUAGCUAGUUGGUGGGGUAAAGGCCUACCAAGGCGACGAUCCGUAACUGGUCUGAGAGGAUGAUCAGGCACAUUGGGACUGGGGCACGGCCCAGACUCCUAAGGGAGGCAGCAGUGGGGAAACUUCCGAAAUGGAGGAAAGGCUGGAGGAGCAACGCCGCGGGAGUGAUGACGGCCUUCGGGUUGGAAAGCUCUGUUAAUCGGGACGCGGUACCGGAAUAGAAAGCCACGGCUAACUACGUGCCAGCAGCCGCGGUAAUAC
rnacentral:rRNA from 1 species